GAGGAAUAGAUGAGGUUAAACCAGAAAAUAGAAAAUGAUCCGAAGGCUUCGUGUGCUGGGGUAGGGAGGUUCAAGAUUUAGCGAGUGAUCUUCAUGUGUGAUAAUGGGCGAUCUCUAAUCACCAUAAAGCAUGCAAAUCUUUGUACGACAAGCCAAUCUAAGUUCACCAAAGAGUGGGGUUGCAAUCUUCAUUGAUUUGGUGCCUUUGUUUAUUGGCAUAGCUCCUCGACAUUGUAGAGAAGCUUAAGUUGGAGCGUGAAGGCCGAAGCAAGAACAAGGAGGAGGAGGAGAGGCGACGGUGCUGCAGUCUGAAGGCUCAAGCAAGAACGAGAAAGCGUAGAAGUGACGGUGCGGAGUGGAGACUUGAAAGGCUACGCGAAGAAUUUCCUCAUUAGAGCAAGGAAUUGAAGGGAGGGAAGUGAAAGUGGAACCCAAAUUUGGACCGUUUGGUUUGCAUAUGAAGAGACUUAUUUUCCACCAAAAAUAAUGGAACUGGGUUCCAUACUCAAACCCAAGGAACCAGGUUCCACUCCCUUAGAAGUUCAUCGCUUGACCAUUUUGCCCUUUCACCCUCUCAUUUUGAAACAAUUGAUGGCCUCCAUAGCCGACCUCUGCAGCUGCAUGCUCAACGGCGACUUCCACAACCAUGCUCGGCGGCGGCGGCGGCGACGUCGAGCGACCAAAAGAAGCAUGCUCAGAUAACCUUGACAAUAUGCUCCAGCUCUAGAUCGAUGAACUAGCAACGACGAUUUCCCACCAGUGAUGGCGUCGCCCAUGAGCAUUUCUACUACCCCUCCUUCUUCAACACUUUUUCUUUGCUUGAGAUUUUGAUUAUUUCUCCCUCGAUUAUUGUUUUCGAUUUGGGGUUUUGAUUCUUGAUUGAUUGUUGUUGAAUUUUUGCUAAUUUUUUGUUCCUGGGUUUGACAAUGGUUCAUGAUUUGAUGGUGGAAGAGAUCUUGUUGUGAGAGGGUAUUUUAGUAUUUUCAUAUUAUAAAUACACAUUUUUAUUCUAUUUCA